rnacentral:rRNA from 1 species
CCCUUAGAUAUCCUGGGCCGCACGCGCGCUACAAUGACUCUUUCAGAAAGUUCUAUCCUGGUCCGGAAGGAUUCGGGUAAUCUUUUUAGUGGGAGUCGUGUUAGGGAUCGAUCUUUGGAAUUAUAGAUCUUGAACGAGGAAUAUCUAGUAUGUGCAAGUCAUCAGCUUGUACAGAUUAUGUCCCUGUCUUUUGUACACACCGCCCGUCGCUGCUACCGAUCGAGUGGUCCGGUGAACCUUUUGGAUUGAGUUGCUCCUCGUGGGCAAUUUGAGAAGUUAAGUAAACCUUAUCACUUAGAGGAAGCAGAANUCGUAACA